AUGCGCAACAGCGGUUUGUGGUUUGUGAGAGCUGUGAGUUGGGAAAUUCCGAUAUUGAGAUUUUGGGCAAUGGUCUUUCUAGUUUCUGGUGAGGAAAAAGGUUUCCUGACAAAAGCCCAAAGCCAAGAGCUGGAAGGCUGCCUUAGAGACAGAUUGAGGAGGCAUCGGAAGCAUCUUUCUCUGUGCGCAAAGGGAGCGCAAACAAUGGGAAGGCUCUGGCUGGUGUUUCUGGCUAGUUACCUUCUCCUGGUGGCUGCCAUUUCUGGGGCGGAAACCCCAGGGCCACCGUCUGCAGAAGCAACCCCGGCUUCGAUCUCGGCUCCUGCAUUGGAGGGGACGGCAUCCCAAAACAUUGCUGACGCCAACGUACCUGUGUUGGUGCCAAGAUCAAAGGUCUACAAGCCCUGGAGGGACAGGCGGAAACCAAAGAGGCCAGUGUAUAGGAUUGGAGCCUACACCUUUCUGCGCAAGGACAAGAACACCCCCAUAUUCGUCAUCCCAAUCCGGCUGUCUUCCUGAGACCAUUGAUUCAUCGGACACCUUUCCUGCCGAUCGUCUUGCUUCUGAUCCUUUCCUUUGUAGGAACGUUUUUCUUGAUGCCAGGUGUAACGAAGUGUGAUUUUUUUUAGUUUACAGAUGUCAUGUUUAGUUGCGUUUUAAAAGUCAGUUUAAAAUAAGUUUGGUGACUUAUUUUAAGUUAGCCUGUUUCCAGAUAAGGAACAGAUAGUCUGUGAUUGAAAUUCACAGGGUGACUGCAGGUUAAAGCAGUAAAGGAGGAAGUAGUAUUUUAAAGUUUGAAACAUCUCAAUAUAGCUUUGCAACUGUUAAUCUAAGUGCCUCUAAAGAAGUUACUGUAACCUUUAAGCUUGUGCCUGAAUAAACGUGUUAUUGUUCUUUUUAACAUCUCAGUCUCUGAAAUCUAUAUUACCAUCAAAAGCAAACAAGAAAGAAGAAAAAUAAAAUUUUAAAAGUCUCCUCUCUAAGUAGCCAGUGGCUAUAUCAUCCCAUAGUGGUGGCAAGAGUUGAUAAUCCCCUUAACAUCUGAUGGCCGCCUUAUAAAAUCUUUACCUCUGGUGGCAGCAUUUAAAUAAAACAUCUUUAAUAACUGGUGGCAGCGGAUAUAAAAUAUAUAUCAACUAGCUGUGCCCGGCCACGCGUUGCUGUGGCGAAGUAUGGUGGUAUGGGAAAUAAAGUAUUGAGGAAUUGGUGGUAGUUAAGGUAAAGGGUAAAGGUUUCCCCCUGUAGAGCAAAAUCUCACUUAUCCAACAUUCGCUUAUCCAAUGGUCUGGAUUAUCCAACGCAGUCUGCCUUUUAGUAGUCAAUGUUUUUGUAGUCAGUGUUUUAAAUUCUUUGUGAUAUUUUGGUGGUAAAUUUGUAAAUACAGUAAUUACAACAUAGCAUUACUGCGCAUGGAACUACUUUUUCUGUCAAAUUUGUUGCAUAACAUGAUGUUUUGAUGCUUCAUUUGUAUAAUGAUUACCUAAUUUGAUGUUUAAUUGGCUUUUCCUUAAUCCCUUCUUAUUAUCCAACAUAUUCACUUACACAACGUUCUGCCGGCCUGUUUAUGUUGGAUAAGUGAGACUCUACUGUAUAUUUAUAAUCUUAUAUUAUCUGCUUAGAACUGGAUUAUAUGAGGCCCCUUCUACACACAUUAAGUCCAGUUGUGUCCGACUGCACACUGAAGUGGAUUAUAUGGCAGUGUGGAGUCAAGAUAAUCCAGUUCAAAGUAGAUAAUAUAAGAUUAUAAAUGGGUUAUAUAGCUGUGUGGAAGGGUCUUGAGUCUACACUGCCAUAUAAUCCAGUUCAAAUCAGAUAAUCUGUAUUUUAUAGGCAAUGUGGAAGAGGCCUAAGUGAGGCCUAACUCUGCCUGUCUCCUGGGCUGAGUGGGUUGCUAGGAGAGCAAGUGGGUGGAGCUUAGCCUUCUAACUGGCAGCAAUUGGAUAAAAACAAUUAUUCCUUUCCUUCUAAUUAGGACUUUAUUUUUCUUUUCUUUUUGUUGCAUGAACGUAGAGGCAUGGAUGAGGGGUUGUGCUGCCAAGUUUAGUGUUUCUGGGAUGUGUAGUUUUGUUGUUUUGUCCUAGGCCGAAAUUUCAUUACCCUUUUAUAUAUAUAGAUAAUAUAAAUAUAAUUAAUUAAUAGAAACUCCUCCACAUCUUUGCAAUUUGGUGGCAGAGGUGGGAUUUUUCAAAAGAUUUCCCCCCUGCCUAGAAAAACCUCAGCCUUUAUUCAACCUCUUUGCACCCGGCGAAACCCCAAGUUUGUCUCAUGGGGCGUAUCCACAUCGCAUGGGUAUUGCACUUCGAUCCCACUUUCAUUGCCUUGGAGCCCUAGGAUUUGUAGUUUGAGAGGUGCUUGGAAUUCUAGAGCUCAAUGGCAGAGAAUAUUAAGAUCUUUGCCAAACUACACAUGCCAGGGUUUGGUGUAAUGGAGCGAGAGCAGGUGAAACACUGUCAAACGAAUUGGCACCGCUUUGUUGUUGGAGUUGUAGUUUGACAUCGUCUUGAGCCUUCUCUACGAAACAGGGCUAGUUCCUCACCAAACUACAACUCCCAGGAGCCCAUAGUAUUGAACCAUAGCAGUGAAAGUGGUGCCAAACUGCACUGAUUUGACAAAAUAGAAUUGAAAUGGUAUCAAUCUGGAUAUGCAAUGGUUUGUGUGUUACUCUCCACCUUUUCUUACAGCCAACAAAACAAAACAAAAGUGUCUGUAAUUGAAUGUAUAUCUGAUUUAUUGUCUGUUCUUUCUCCUAGCAAUAAACACCAUGUUUUUCUACCCAAUUGUGUGGUCUGUGUUUGGUAAUACAGUAGAGUCUCACUUAUCCAACACUCGCUUAUCCAAGCUUCUGGAUUAUCCAAGACAUUUUUGUAGUCAAUGUUUUCAAUAUAUCAUGAUAUACUGGUGCUAAAUUCGUAAAUACAGUAAUUACAACAUAACAUUACUGCGUACUGAACUACUUUUUCUGUCAAAUUUGUUGUAUAACAUGAAGUUUUGGCGCUUAAUUUGUAAAAUCAUAACUUAAUUUGAUGUUUAAUAGGCUUUUCCUUAAUCUCUCCUUAUUAUCCAAGAUAUUCGCUUAUCCAAGCUUCUGCUGGCCCGUUUAGCUUGGAUUAGUGAAACUCUACUGUAUCUCUGAUUUAUUGUCUGUCCUUUCUCCUACCAAUAAACACCCAUGUUUUUCUACCCAAUUGUGCGGUCUGUGUUUGGUAAUACAGUAGAGUCUCACUUAUCCAACACCCGCUUAUCCAAUGUUCUGGAUUAUCCAAUGCAUUUUUGUAGUCAAUGUUUUCAAUACAUUGUGAUAUUUUGGUGCUAAAUUCGUAAAUACAGUACAGUAGAGUCUCACUUAUCUAACUUAAACGGGCCGGCAGAAUGUUGGAUAAGAGAAUAUGUUGGAUAAUAAGGAGAGAUUAAGGAGAAACCUAUUAAACAUCAAAUUAGGUUAUGAUUUUACAAAUUAAGCACCAAAACAUCACGUUAUACAACAAAUUUGACAGAAAAAAUAGUUCAAUAUGCAGUAAUGCUACGUAGUAAUUACUGUAUUUACGAAUUUAGUACCAAAAUAUCACGAUGUAUUGAAAACACUGACUACAAAAAUGCGUUGGAUAAUCCAGAACGUUGGAUAAGCGAAUGUUGGAUAAGCGAGACUCUACUGUAAUUGCUACAUAGCAUUACUAUGUAUUGAACUACUUUUUCUGUCAAACUUGUUAAACAUGAUGUUUUGAUGCUUAAUUUGUAAAAUCAUAACCUAAUUUGAUGUUUAACAGGCUUUUCCUUAAUCCCUCCUUAUGGAUCCAACCUAUUCGCUUAUCCAAUGUUCUGCCACCCCGUU
ensembl:lncRNA